AUUGAACGCUGGCGGCAGGCUUAACACAUGCAAGUCGAGCGGGGGAAGGUAGCUUGCUACCGGACCUAGCGGCGGACGGGUGAGUAAUGCUUAGGAGUCUGCCUAUUAGUGGGGGACAACAUCUCGAAAGGGAUGCUAAUACCGCAUACGUCCUACGGGAGAAAGCAGGGGAUCUUCGGACCUUGCGCUAAUAGAUGAGCCUAAGUCGGAUUAGCUAGUUGGUGGGGUAAAGGCCUACCAAGGCGACGAUCUGUAGCGGGUCUGAGAGGAUGAUCCGCCACACUGGGACUGAGACACGGCCCAGACUCCUACGGGAGGCAGCAGUGGGGAAUAUUGGACAAUGGGGGGAACCCUGAUCCAGCCAUGCCGCGUGUGUGAAGAAGGCCUUAUGGUUGUAAAGCACUUUAAGCGAGGAGGAGGCUACUUUAGUUAAUACCUAGAGAUAGUGGACGUUACUCGCAGAAUAAGCACCGGCUAACUCUGUGCCAGCAGCCGCGGUAAUACAGAGGGUGCGAGCGUUAAUCGGAUUUACUGGGCGUAAAGCGUGCGUAGGCGGCUUAUUAAGUCGGAUGUGAAAUCCCCGAGCUUAACUUGGGAAUUGCAUUCGAUACUGGUGAGCUAGAGUAUGGGAGAGGAUGGUAGAAUUCCAGGUGUAGCGGUGAAAUGCGUAGAGAUCUGGAGGAAUACCGAUGGCGAAAGCAGCCAUCUGGCCUAAUACUGACGC
rnacentral:rRNA from 1 species